UACAGAGGUCUCAAGCGUUGUUCGGAUUCAUUGGGCGUAAAGGGUGCGUAGGCGGCGCGGUAAGUCGGGUGUGAAAUCUCGGAGCUUAACUCCGAAACUGCAUUCGAUACUGCCGUGCUUGAGGACUGGAGAGGAGACUGGAAUUUACGGUGUAGCGGUGAAACUGCGUAGAUAUCGUAAGGAAGACCAGUGGCGAAGGCGGGUCUCUGGACAGUUCCUGACGCUGAGGCACGAAGGUCAGGGGAGCAAACGGG
rnacentral:rRNA from 1 species